UGACCCUAUCCAACUUUAAAAAGGUCAUCCAUCUUUUGUCGUCGUCGUCUUCUACAUCUUCUUCCUCUGUUCCACCAUCAUGAUCUCCGACCAUCACACACGGGUAGAUUCGCAAAACAAAGAACAAAGUGAAAUCAGGGUUUGUGGAUUGAUUCGUGGACCAGCCAUUCUCGAGCAAGAUGUUUUGCUUCUUUCAAUCAUUUAGAGAAAUGAAUCUUCAGAUAUAAUUAAGGUCUGGUUCAUCCAUACGAAAGGCCAUAGCUAAGGUCAGUCACUAUUCGAGUGAAACUGAGAUAAGAGUGAAUUCUGAGUCAAGGCAAAAAGGUAUUUGGAAGACGUGAAAGCUCCCAAGCAAGUUAUCCCCUUCGCACGCUUCUGUCGUGGUGUUGGACGUACUGAUAUGGCAUUCCAACAAUCAAGGUAGCAAGGCUGUUAAAUCUACUCAGUUGGUACUUGAUUUCUCCGAGGUAACUUAUACUGAGGUCAAAGUUUUGGGUUUUGAUGCCUUUUUCAUAUCGCACAUCAAAGUGAACCAAGCAGCAUAACAUAGGCAGAGGACGUAUUAUAAUACCCUCGUACAUGUCAAAACCAUGCCAGGCUGAAUUGAUUUUGUCAGAGAAAUAAUCUGUGAAGAAAGAGUUAAUUUAUGCGCCUCAAUGCGCGUAUGUAAUCCUGAUUUUCACCAUCAUCAUUGAUCUUUUACUUCUCAUGCCACUUUUUGUUAUAUAUUAUUUUGUAGCUGGAAACUGGAAAGUCAGUUGGCAGCGAAGUCAAAGAAUGGAACUUUAUUGUUUCUUGAAUUAUAAUCAUAUACUUUACAAGACAUGAUGAUUGGUAUUGGAUGACCCGAGCUUUAAUCUA